rnacentral:rRNA from 1 species
CCUACGGGGGGCUGCAGUGGGGAAUAUUGCGCAAUGGGCGAAAGCCUGACGCAGCGACGCCGCGUGAGGGAUGAAGGUCUUCGGAUCGUAAACCUCUGUCAGCAGGGAAGAACGGUCACUGUGCUAAUCAGCAGUGAAUUGACGGUACCUGCAAAGGAAGCACCGGCUAACGCCGUGCCAGCAGCCGCGGUAAUACGGAGGAUGCGAGAGUUAAUCGGAAUUACUGGGUGUAAAGGGCGUGCAUCCGGAGAGGCAAGUCAGAUGUGAACUCCGCGGGCUCAACUCGCGAACUGCAUUUGAAACUGCUUCCCUUGAGUAUCGGAGAGGUAAGCGGAAUUCCUAGUGUAGCGGUGAAAUGCGUAGAUAUUAGGAAGAACACCAGUGGCGAAGGCGGAUUACUGGACGACAACUGACGGUGAGGCGCGAAAGCGUGGGGAGCAAACAGGAGUAGAUACCCCAGUAGUC